GGGUUUUUACACUAUAGUAUAUAAACAUUCAUGUGCUUUAACUUUAUUUAAUAAAGAUACUUAAUUUUAUAAUUUACAAGUACGCAAUGCCAGAAAUAAAUUUAAAUCACGAGAAAUAACUAAAAUAAUACAACAGUGCUAUAAAACUUGAAACCACUUGAUUCCUAGGGCAACAAACAAAUCCAGAAAAUCUUAUGAUAUUGACAUUAGGGUUAAGGAAAGUAAAAGUCAUCAUACGCUUGAAGUAAGAUAAAAAGAAGAAUGCAAAUGCUAUUUUAAUGCUUAAAUGGAAUGGUACAAUCUAUUAUUUUAUACAUGGUAGCAUCCAAUAUUAGAGGUCAUAUCUAGGCCUGAUACGCUAUAGCAAAAACUACUCUCCACUGCACAGCAAAAUGAAACUAAUAUGUAGGUCAGCCAGAAUGCUAUCUGUCCCUAACCAAUGAACACAGCUCCUUUCAUUAUAUCCACCAUUUUCCACAGUAGGUGCUAUUUACAGAGCACUUUCAAAUAUGGGUCUCCUUUCAUUAAGAUAAAUGCUCUUGGACUUGCUUGUCUCCAUUUGAUGAGCUGCAAGAGACACCACUAUUUCAUUCCAAUAAAAAAUGGUAGUGCAUAAAGAACCAACAAUAAUUUGACAAUAGAGUAACUUUCACAAGUAAAAAUAAGUGCUAACACUGCAACUUAAACACAUCCUUAAUAAACUAAGUUGAGAGAGCGAGAGAAAAAGUAUAGCACUCCCAACAUCAAAACAAAUUGUAGGCAUUGUUAAUGGUGAUUAUUACCAUCUGUGAUAGGUUGUGAAAACUCAGCUCUCUAGCUGAUGCCUAACAGUUUUGUCUGCUUGACUAAGAGAUUACUGCUUAUCUAUGGCAUCUUCAUUUGGAGCGUUCAGUCUUUCUAUUGGAAAUGGAGAAAAUGAGACAAGUUUAGUUAUAAUCAAACCUCACAUGUCAACAAAUAUGGUGUAAUCUAUUAUAAACCCCACAACCCAGCUCUCAUCCCUGGGCAGACGUGGCUCUCUCUCUUUCUCAAUCCACUGAGUCCACCCUCCCCAAAAUUUCCCUGAGAACAGUCAACUGCGUUAAUGGUAGGUGUUAAAACUGUCUUCAGAACGUUGAAAACCACUUACUGCAAGAUAUAAUCUUCAUGCAAAGUGAACUACCAAUGAAGAGAAUUCACUCCCAUUCCCCAACCCCUCAGACCUCCACUAUGUUUAAAUAAGAUUGAUGUCUAUCUUUUGGAACAGAAUAGCAUCAUUUUUACAUUAGUAUGAUUCUUAUGGUUGUGUACAUACUCAUCUGCAUUUUCCCAAAUUUGAAGUAAUAUCACUUUGCACUGGCAAUGUUAUGCUCACAGCUAUCAGAUUGAUUUUCAAAUUGAGUGCAUAUCACAUAUGGUAUCCUAAUAAAUCUGUCAUAUUGUAAAGAACAACCGGAUUACCAUUUGUUCAACCUAGCUUUAUUCAUAGGAAACCUCAGGGUAGUUCAAUCCCCAUCAAAUUUUACAACCAGCAAGAUUUUAACCAGUCUGCAUAUUUAUUUCAUAAUGCAAAAAAGAAAUCAACAAAUUAUAUUGACCUUAAAAAAUUAUGGAUUUGAACAGUGGAACAAAAGAAAUUGUCAGAAGGUAGUGAGAUCAAGAGUAAAAUUGGUCUUACUCGAGUCCAGAAAUCAGAUUAUUGACUUCACUUACAGCAACCUUUACAGCAUACAGUGUCAUCUUCUUUACCUCAAGUUUAUCUUCUUUAGCUCUAUGGUUUUUUGGAAGCAUACGGAACUCUUCUGUCAACCGAAUGCAUUCUUGAACAUUGUCAGGGGAUACAAAAUCAAGGGCCACCUUUAUGCAUGACUGUCUAUUCCUCACUUGAUGCGGACACCCUGCUGGGAUGAAAACAGCCUCACCAAGGUGUUGCUCAAAUGUCCAAGGUUCAACAUUGAACUCCUCCUUCAGUUGUCUCUUGUGUCUUUCAUUUAGAUAAAAGGUCUGGUCAUGAAUAGGAUGAACAACGGAAUUCACAGGAAGAUUACUGAUAUGACGAAAUUCUUUCUGAUGCUUCUUCAGGUACUCAAUUAGCUUGGGUACAUCCUGCCUACGAAAAAUGUCCCAAACAGCACCACCAUUUAGAAGUUUUGCAGCAUGGUUUUCCUCAAGAUAUUUACUGGUCAUAGUUGUAUUUAAAUCAACUGAAUCCAAAUCAUUUGUUUCCCCCGCUACACCAACAACGCUGGUGCAUUUACCAUGUUGGUGAUUGAGAGAAUGACAGUUAUUCUUUGCCAACUUCAUUCCCAAAAUUUCCUCCAUUCCGUGAUCAUCGGAUGCAUCCAUAUGCAUACUUUCAGGUAACAAGUUAUCCCUAACAAGAUCACUACAUUCUGAUGAAAAUCCUUUCACUUCAUCCUGUUUCUUAAUCUUAACAUUUAUCUUCUCACAAUCAUUGUACCACAAGGAGCUGGAAUCAAGCAUAUGUGGAUCACAACAAGGCACCAUUGUAUCUACAUUUCCAACCAACUGCUCAUUUGUAUUUUCAAUUAUUGUUCCUGUGGAAGUAGAACAUUUCUGAGAAAACUGAAUGCUACUUGAUCCAUCCAAUUCUUGGGAUUUACUUUCUUGUUCAUCCAAUUUCAUUUCUUGUAUAUACAGCCGUUCCAGUGAGGAGUCACUCUCAAUUGUUUCGCCUUUUUGGGAUAAUUCAGGAUCUAUGCUCUCAUCUUUGCAAGGUCUUUUCAAUGGCUUCCUUCCAAAUUUACCUGAUGCUUUCUGCAUCACACCACAAAUCUGAUUCAAAUCUUCAUCCUCAUAUUGCUUUUGCAAUUUGUCUAUAAUCUCACCUUGCCAUGGGGGAAUCUUCACUUCGUUCGUGUGAGUGAGUACAUUAACCGCAUCAGAGAUGUCACAAUGCAGUUUUGUCACUGAAUCACCUCUGCCAAGUUCUUCCAUAGAUCCGUAAGCAAUGUAUGUUUUGGGUCCCAAGUCUGGCUUUAAGACAGCAGGAAGCCUUGUAGCUAGAUUUAAAAGACCAGUAUUUGGAUGGGUAUACUCACUAAACGGAAGCAUAGCUAUAAAUUCAGCACCGUGCCUUGGCAAACAUUCUUCAAAUGAAUUUGAUGGGGGCCAAUCCUUCAGCUUCAGCAUCUCAGGCCAAAAGUUACCAUAUCUUCUCCCUUCUGUAUAACCCUUGAAAAAUUGGCGGGUAUUAAUUUCCACCUGCAUGCUUUGAAAAAAAUCAGCAGGCAUGAGUAAAACUAAAUAGAAGAUACAACAACAUAGGAUAAAUUCUCUCUUUUACCAUAAAUCAUGAAAGGAAAAUAGACCUUUUACAUCACACGAUACUAUGUUUUGGGAUGAAAAAAGAAUAUCAGGUAGGAUAAUGAUGCUAAACCUCACAAAAAGCCAGGCAAUCAACGGCCUUCACUUCAGACAUCUUAGCACUUGUCUCUGGGUCCACAUUUUCGCAUAAUGCACGCCACAUGACCAUUGGUUCCCAGCUCAAAUGAGUUGUUACCUCGAGAGCACCACGAACAAUAACAGGUUCGCCUUUAACCCAGUGCUUUUGGAAGCGAAAGACCUCUUCAUCCUCUUGAAUGUCAUUCACAGUAGGACAAUACAAGUAAUUGUCCUCUGAUCCUUCUCUAGAAGCUGCUCUCCGCAACAUCUCUUUCCCUUCUGCUUCAGAAUGGUUGCACAUUAAACUUGUCCCUUCCAUGCCAAACCCUACUAAAUCUCUUGCCUUCUUUUUCAACUCUGAAAUCCACCCCAUUGGAAGGAUACGCUUUAGCUCCAAUACACAAUCACCACAACCACCCAUUUCUUUUGGGGCACAAGAAAUACUUCCAUCAUCAUUGGCAUUCCACAGCACAAAUGGAGGUUCCCCUUGAUCCUCAAGAUUUUCAAAACCACAAGGCAGUGGAUCUCCACCAUGCAUAUAUUCAGAGCCUCUGUUUACAUAUUCAAACUUUAUUUCAGCACGACUUGACAAACUUCCUUCACGAAUUUCUUGACAACAACUGAGACAUAGUUCAUAAGCACACUUUGGGCAGCUGCGGUGCAGGUCAACAAUAGAAGUUGCACAAUGGUUGCAAUAGACACGCUCAUCAUUAUUACAGAAGUUUUCUGCUAUCUCGGGGGAGGAACCUAGAAUGCAAGCCUCAAUUUGUAUCUCUUGAUUUUGUUCUUCACAAAGUUGUUCAAGAAAUGGAAGCAGUGACUUUAUCAAAUACUGGAGAUGCUGAACCUUUUGACUGUCAGUGAUGUCCCUUUUUGAUGUCUUAAUCAAACCACUGGAGUGCAAACACACAUUGCAGUUGCAAUUUCUACGACAGUACGGACAUUGUUCUGCAAUUUCUUCUUCUGUCAUCUUUGGAUACCAUUGCUUGAUGCAUUGGACACAAUAUAUUUUGCUUUUACACUUCUGGCAAGGGACAACAAUUCUUCUUUCACUUUUCAUGCAUUGAUGACACUUUGGGCGAGCUUCUAUUUUGGCCUUCAAAUUUCUCAGUGCACAUGUGCUGUUGCUACUGCCAUCAUUCUUCAUAGCUGAAGCUGAUGAGGUAGAAGAAGAUGUUGAUGAAGAAGAUGAAGUGUGCAAAGAAGCAUUUGUAAAACCUACAUUUCCCUCUAUUGUAUCCUUAGGAUUUUCUUUGAUUAUCUCCCUGCUUGAAUUCCUAGCUCUUUUGCGCUCUCUCAUAUUUAUAAUACACACUUCCUCUGAAACUUCAUCCUCUGAAUCACUCUCUAAAUCUACAACUACAGAAUUAUUUCCCUUAUUUAAAGCACUCCGCUGCUUCUUUGGAAUUCCUUUGCCCUCCAAGAAUUCAAAAGCAGGAGUCAAUUUCAUUUUCUUAGAUGAAUUUUUUGUUCUUGUUGGGGGUGACCACUCAACAUCAUCAUCUUCCUCUUCUAGUUUCCCUAUUUUCUCAAUACUUCUGUGAUUAAGGAUUUUGUGAACUCGUCUCUUAGAUGCUGGCCAAGAAGCAUCACAGGUUCUUCCCAUUCUCCGCAUAUUUUGAUCACCCUCACGGUUGAACCGGUCUUGCUUAGCAAUAAUUGCAGCCAUCCUCACUGCAGGUACAAUGGGAAGAGAGAUCCAUAGAUAAGUAAUGGAGUCCAAAAUUGAGUUUAAUCAAAAUCGGCCUUCAGUUCAGCAUAAAAUAGAAUAAGAAAUUCACACUCUGAUUCUUCAUUCUUCGUUCAUCAUGAAACACCCUGAUCGAUUGAGGAACUGAUCUGAUCAGAGAAGGCAAUGUCUAUCCAAUUUGAGAUUGAAGAGUGAAGUUGCAGCAGUGUUUGUGAAUUGUGAUGAUUGUUCAUGGAGAAUCUGAUCCGAAAGAGAAUGAGAAGAGAGAAAAGCGUUACAGAGUUUGGUUCGCCGCGGGGCUUUUAUUAUUGGAGGGGAGCAUUCUCGGUUCUCCUACAAGGGAAAAAGAGAAGCACAAAUUUAACGCGCAC
rnacentral:misc_RNA from 1 species